UGGGGAAUAUUGGACAAUGGGCGAAGGCCUGAUCCAGCCAUGCCGCGUGUGUGAAGAAGGUCUUCGGAUUGUAAAGCACUUUAAGUUGGGAGGAAGGGUUGUAGUUUAAUACGCUGCAAUCUUGACGUUACCAACAGAAUAAGCACCGGCUAACUCUGUGCCAGCAGCCGCGGUAAUACAGAGGGUGCAAGCGUUAAUCGGAAUUACUGGGCGUAAAGCGCGCGUAGGCGGCUUGAUAGGAUGGGUGUGAAAUCCCCGGCUAACCUGGAACUGCAUCAUACUGUCUGGCUAGAGUACAGUAGAGGGUGGUGGAAUUUCCUGUGUAGCGGUGAAAUGCGUAGAUAUAGGAAGGAACACCAGUGGCGAAGGCGACCACCUUGGACUGAUACUGACGCUGAGGUGCGAAAGCGUGGGGGAGCAAACA
rnacentral:rRNA from 1 species